GAUGAACGCUGGCGGCGUGCCUAAUACAUGCAAGUCGAGCGAACGGACGAGAAGCUUGCUUUUCUGAUGUUAGCGGCGGACGGGUGAGUAACACGUGGAUAACCUACCUAUAAGACUGGGAUAACUUCGGGAAACCGGAGCUAAUACCGGAUAAUAUUUUGAACCGCAUGGUUCAAAAGUGAAAGACGGUCUUGCUGUCACUUAUAGAUGGAUCCGCGCUGCAUUAGCUAGUUGGUAAGGUAACGGCUUACCAAGGCAACAAUGCAUAGCCGACCUGAGAGGGUGAUCGGCCACACUGGAACUGAGACACGGUCCAGACUCCUACGGGAGGCAGCAGUAGGGAAUCUUCCGCAAAGGGCGAAAGCCUGACGGAGCAACGCCGCGUGAGUGAUGAAGGUCUUCGGAUCGUAAAACUCUGUUAUUAGGGAAGAACAUAUGUGUAAGUAACUGUGCACAUCUUGACGGUACCUAAUCAGAAAGCCACGGCUAACUACGUG
rnacentral:rRNA from 1 species